rnacentral:tRNA from 1 species
UCCGUCGUGGUGUAAUGGUUAGCAUCAGCCGCUCUCAUGAGCAGCUACCGGCUAGAUCCGGGUUCAAUUCCCGGCGACGGAA